GGAGAGGUGACCGAGUGGCCGAAGGUGCAGCACUGGAAAUGCUGUGUAUGCCAAAAGUGUACCGGGGGUUCGAAUCCCCCCCUCUCCG
rnacentral:tRNA from 1 species